ensembl:lncRNA
CCUUACCGUGCUGCUCCCCCAGACUACACCAACCUCACCAACCUCAGAUUACGUCUGACCCUUCAGAUGACCUGCUGACCAGUCUGGGAGAUGUCGUCUCCCCUGACAACCCCCGGCCCUGAGGAGAUAUUCUCAUUCGGAGCUGGCUAUACCUUGUAACUGGAGAUUCCUUCAAAACGAUUGACUACAGUUAUCGUGUAGGGCACUGCAAGGUUGGGUGACCAGGACCAUUUGGGACUGCCUCCUGGAGGAAUUCAGGUGUGUGAAGGCUACUUGUGUCCUACAUAACUUCAUGGGUAUGGACACGAGGACCAGGAGGGGAUCUGCAGCCGCCGUUGUGUGCCAGAGGAGAAGUCUGCUGCUCUGCAGGAUGUUUCAAGGAUGGGGUCCAACAACACAGCAAGAGAGGCAAUCUGUGUGCGGGAGAUCUGCACCUCCUACAAUUUAGACACCCUAUAACCCACACCUACACACUCAUGUGUAUCAAUCUGAUUGAUGGAUUGGGUUGUGCAGUAAGCAGGCUCAGGUGUAUAAAUGUCUCUUUCCACCUUCAAAGAAUAGGCAAGAGGGCCAACCAUGGAGAAUAGUAAGACAUUUCAUUAUUUCUAGAACUACGAUAUAUUGUUUUGUCCUUGUCUGUUCAUGUUUUUCAGCAUAAAGUAUUCUGCAGCCACUUAGUGUGGUGUGAACACCAGGUGAGGCCACACACACAGAUUCCUGUUGAACACUGUCCCUUUAACUACCUUAUUUUCUCAAUAACAGUCUCUCUCCUUCACUUCAUCCCUCUUCUCCCUAAAUCCUCUAGGUUAUAUCAGCUGUGUCGGUCAACCCCUCCCACAUCUGAACUGGCUACAUAGAGGGCACAGCAUGAUCAGAGUUAUGUUUUGAUGUGAGAGAGGAUGCCAACCCCCAGUCCCAUCAUCGCCACCUCACCUGCUUUUAAGAUAACCUUCGGGCCGACGAGACACUAGUAUGUAAUUGUGAUGAACUGAGAAUAUUUGGGUAGCACUGAUUUAUGAAUCAUAUCCCUGCUCCUAUGUUCUUAUCUCUUUCCCUUUCUGUCUUUUACACCUUUCUCGCCACCUCCUUUCUUCCUCUGUUUUUAUAAUGCACAACAGAUGUGCAUUGAAGUAUAGAUUGAAUUUGCAUUGAUAUUAUAAUUGUAAUAUAUUAUAAAUACAUGUAUUUAUAACACUUGGA